rnacentral:rRNA from 1 species
UACGUAGGGUGCGAGCGUUAAUCGGAAUUACUGGGCGUAAAGCGUGCGCAGGCGGUUUUUUAAGCCAGAUGUGAAAUCCCCGGGCUUAACCUGGGAAUGGCAUUUGGGACUGCAAGGCUGGAGUUUGGCAGAGGAGACUGGAAUUCCUGGUGUAGCAGUGAAAUGCGUAGAUAUCAGGAGGAAUACCGAUGGCGAAGGCAGGUCUCUGGGCUAUAACUGACGCUCAUGCACGAAAGCGUGGGGAGCAAACAGG